UCGAGCGAGCAUAGAUGUGGAAGUUUUCGGAUGGAAGCAGAUACGACUGAGCGGCGGACGGGUGAGUAACGCGUGGGUAACCUGCCUCAUACAGGGGGAUAACAGUUAGAAAUGACUGCUAAUACCGCAUAAGCGCACAGGACCGCAUGGUCCGGUGUGAAAAACUCCGGUGGUAUGAGAUGGACCCGCGUCUGAUUAGCUGGUUGGUGAGGUAACGGCCCACCAAGGCGACGAUCAGUAGCCGACCUGAGAGGGUGGCCGGCCACAUUGGGACUGAGACACGGCCCAAACUCCUACGGGAGGCAGCAGUGGGGAAUAUUGCACAAUGGGGGAAACCCUGAUGCAGCAACGCCGCGUGAGUGAAGAAGUAUUUCGGUAUGUAAAGCUCUAUCAGCAGGGAAGAGAAUGACGGUACCUGACUAAGAAGCCCCGGCUAACUACGUGCCAGCAGCCGCGGUAAUACGUAGGGGGCAAGCGUUAUCCGGAUUUACUGGGUGUAAAGGGAGCGUAGACGGCUGUACAAGUCUGAAGUGAAAGCCCGUGGCUCAACCGCGGAACUGCUUUGGAAACUGUAGAGCUGGAGUACUGGAGAGGCAGGCGGAAUUCCUAGUGUAGCGGUGAAAUGCGUAGAUAUUAGGAGGAACACCAGUGGCGAAGGCGGCCUGCUGGACAGAAACUGACGUUGAGGCUCGAAAGCGUGGGGAGCAAACAGGAUUAGAUACCCUGGUAGUCCACGCGGUAAACGAUGAAUG
rnacentral:rRNA from 1 species